GCAAAUCUUGCGUUGUAUUCUAAUUUCUAAAAUUCUUCAAAUAAUAUCAUGAAAAUUGUAUGAAAGCAGGGCGCUGUUACUGUAUACAACUUUAAUCAUGAAGUUGAAACUAAUAGUUGAAUGGAUUCAAAGACUCAAGAAAUUACCAGAAUGUAUAAUGAGAUGUGGUGACAAAUACUUCAUAUUUCAAGGAAGCCAUCAAAAUUAUUUAAGGAAUGGAGCUUUGCUACUUGAAGAAAGCAUUGCCCUGUUUCACGGCAGGGCUAAUCCUUUACGUCCUUUUUCUGUGGGUGAACUCAAUACAAUGAAUGUUGAAACACUUCCCAUCUAUAAAUUCUAUUUUCAUCAUUUGUACAAAGGCUCUUGGGAGGGAAGAGAUGUUUUGGUAGGAAAGGAUGAUAAUAUGAAACACAAGAGGCAUUGGGAGUACGUUUUGCACGAAAUUGUUGUGGCUACACAAAUGGCUACUCAUACUAAUGUCCAUAAAUUAAUAGGAUGUUGCCUUGAGACUGUAAAACCAGUUCUUGUUUAUGAGUCACUUGAUGAUUGUAUUUUACUUGAAGAUAAAACCCCACUUGAUGAUUGUAUUUUACUUAAAGAUAAAACCCCACUUGAUGAUUGUAUUUUACUUAAAGAUGAAACCCAAAACCAAAGACUAGUUUUAGAGUGGAAAGACAGGCUCAGAAUUGCGUGGGAAAUAUCUCAUACCAUUGCGUAUCUGCACACUGCCUUUCCCCGGCCUAUUAUUUAUAGGAAUUUGAACCCUAAUAGUGUUUUCUUGAGCCCAGAAAGCGCUAUCAAAUUGUGUGACUUUAGUCUGUGUGUUUCGAUUCCUAAAGAUCAAGAAUUUUUCAUGUCAGAGGAUUUACUAGGGACAAUUGGUUUUAUAGCACCCGAGUAUUUUCAUUCUGGAGAAGUUAGAGAGAGUACAGAUGUUUUUACUUUUGGUGUGCUUUUUCUUAUGCUUUUAACUGGAAAAUUUCCUAGAAAAGAUGAUUUAGUUUUUCUAAGGAAAGGUAUGACAGAAAUGUGCAUCAACAAGAUGAUAGAUCCUAAAAUAACCAGAAAUGGAGUAACCGAUAUUGAGGAGCUUCAACUCAGAUAUUCUAUACAGACUGCUCUUUUGUGUGUGUCAAACAAAGAGAACUGCAGACCAACAAUGGUGGAAGUUGCAAUGGAGCUGAUGAACAUCAUUAAGUCGCCCCAAAAUAUCGUUACCUCUAGUAAAUUUAAGAUGUUCCAGUUAAACCAUUACAACGAUCAUACCACUGAAUGUGAUGAUGAGUUUUACGAUUGUGACAAUGACAACAAUGACAAUAAUGAUGAGGAGUAUUAUGAUUGUGAGCAAAACAAAGAUCAAUGCAAUGAUAAUGCAUAAGAAUGAUCAGAUUGUAGAUUUAAUUUUGCAUUUCUUUGGAGUAAUUACUAAUUAGUGAGUAUGAGAACCGUUGGAUUAAACUUGCUGCACACCCUUGAUAUGAAGAGACACGAAUCACAUCUAUCAAGAUAUAAAAGAACGGAUGCUGAACUCCUAAGUGUGCUUGAUGUUAGUCUUCUAUUCUGAGCUUCUGAUCUGCUGACAGAUUGAGAGAAUGUUGUGUCGAUACUUUUGCUUUGUGUUCCCUGCUGUGAUGAUGAUGCUGCCUUGUCUUGUGCAACCAAGAACAGACCAAUUUAUUUAACAUCCCCCCUCUGGUUUGUGUAAAAGAUGUUUGAAAUGAAGGUAGAAUUUUUUGUAAAUAGAUCAGCUAUCUCAUUUCUUUAGGCAAAUAAGAUAACUGUAGUAAACUUUCAAGGACUUUCUCCCUUGUAUAAUGGCAGUUAAUGUCAAUAUGUUUAGUUGCUUUUAUGAAAGAUUGGGGUUUUGGUUAUGAAUAUAGCUGAUUAAUUAUCACAAAAUAAAGCGACUGGCUUGAUAAUAUGAACAUUUUCUAGAAGUCUAAUUAACCAAGUGACAUCAGAAGCAACACUGGUCAUGUCUCUAUACUCUGGUUCUGAACUAGACUUAGAAACUGUUUGUUGCUUUUUACUCUUCCAACUAAUGAGAGAGCUGCUCAACAUCAUGACAUAUCCGGUGAUAGAUUUUCUUGUGUCAACACAAGAUCACCAAUCAGAGUUAGAAUAAGCUUGGAAGACAAGUUUAUGUAGCUUGUUAGUUUAAUACCUUGCCCUCUUGUAGAGAACACAUAAUUCAAGGUAUGAAUUUGAUCCAAGUAAGAAUGAGGAUAUUGAUGUUGGAUCAAAGCAAGAUGAAUGAGCUGAGUUUGACUCUAUUGUUCUCGACUCCACUGAACACAAGACAGGACAUGACACACUAAAACAAGAUGUUCCUGAACAAAAUCAAGAUUCUGAGCUAGUGCAAGUGAGGCACAGUCUUGAGCAGCCAACAACAGAAGGUGUGCCAAACAAGCUCCUACACUCCAACAUACAUGGACUCCACUGCAUAGGAUCAAGAACAUCGUCAAGUGUCUUGAACAAGGAAGGAUGAAACAAAGUUCGUGUGCCAUCAGAGAUUUAGGAAAACAUGUAUAAUAGUUAGUUUUCUGCUCUGUUGUCCAUGUUUUAAACAAAUGAGCUAGCAAAGUAGUUAGUUACUGAGAUUGUUUAGUUGUUAUUUAGCCUCUUAUAGCCGUCAGGUCUUAAAGCUAUGUAUAGGCCUAGCCUCCUAUUGUGUAAUUUAGUUUUCAUAUUCAAUAAAGAAGUAAUUUUUCAGAAA